GAUCAUGGCUCAGGAUGAACGCUAGCGACAGGCUUAACACAUGCAAGUCGAGGGGCAUCAUGAGGUAGCAAUACCUUGAUGGCGACCGGCGCACGGGUGAGUAACGCGUAUGCAACCUGCCCGAUACCGGGGUAUAGCCCAUGGAAACGUGGAUUAACACCCCAUAGUACUUUUAUCCUGCAUGGGAUGUGAGUUAAAUGUUUAGUAGU
rnacentral:rRNA from 1 species